GAGUGGCGAACGGGUGAGUAACACGUGGGUAACCUGCCCAGAAGUAGGGGAUAACACCUGGAAACAGAUGCUAAUACCGUAUAACAGAGAAAACCGCAUGGUUUUCUUUUAAAAGAUGGCUCUGCUAUCACUUCUGGAUGGACCCGCGGCGUAUUAGCUAGUUGGUGAGGUAAAGGCUCACCAAGGCAGUGAUACGUAGCCGACCUGAGAGGGUAAUCGGCCACAUUGGGACUGAGACACGGCCCAGACUCCUACGGGAGGCAGCAGUAGGGAAUCUUCCACAAUGGACGCAAGUCUGAUGGAGCAACGCCGCGUGAGUGAAGAAGGGUUUCGGCUCGUAAAGCUCUGUUGUUAAAGAAGAACGUGGGUAAGAGUAACUGUUUACCCAGUGACGGUAUUUAACCAGAAAGCCACGGCUAACUACGUGCCAGCAGCCGCGGUAAUACGUAGGUGGCAAGCGUUAUCCGGAUUUAUUGGGCGUAAAGCGAGCGCAGGCGGUCUUUUAAGUCUAAUGUGAAAGCCUUCGGCUCAACCGAAGAAGUGCAUUGGAAACUGGGAGACUUGAGUGCAGAAGAGGACAGUGGAACUCCAUGUGUAGCGGUGAAAUGCGUAGAUAUAUGGAAGAACACCAGUGGCGAAGGCGGCUGUCUGGUCUGCAACUGACGCUGAGGCUCGAAAGCAUGGGUAGCGAACAGGAUUAGAUACCCUGGUAGUCCAUGCCGUAAACGAUGAUUACUAAGUGUUGGGAGGGUUUCCGCCCUUCAGUGCUGCAGCUAACGCAUUAAGUAAUCCGCCUGGGGAGUACGACCGCAAGGUUGAAACUCAAAAGAAUUGACGGGGGCCCGCACAAGCGGUGGAGCAUGUGGUUUAAUUCGAAGCUACGCGAAGAACCUUACCAGGUCUUGACAUCUUCUGACAGUCUAAGAGAUUAGAGGUUCCCUUCGGGGACAGAAUGACAGGUGGUGCAUGGUUGUCGUCAGCUCGUGUCGUGAGAUGUUGGGUUAAGUCCCGCAACGAGCGCAACCCUUAUUACUAGUUGCCAGCAUUAAGUUGGGCACUCUAGUGAGACUGCCGGUGACAAACCGGAGGAAGGUGGGGACGACGUCAAAUCAUCAUGCCCCUUAUGACCUGGGCUACACACGUGCUACAAUGGAUGGUACAACGAGUCGCGAGACCGCGAGGUUAAGCUAAUCUCUUAAAACCAUUCUCAGUUCGGACUGUAGGCUGCAACUCGCCUACACGAAGUCGGAAUCGCUAGUAAUCGCGGAUCAGCAUGCCGCGGUGAAUACGUUCCCGGGCCUUGUACACACCGCCCGUCACACCAUGAGAGUUUGUAACACCCAAAGCCGGUGGGGUAACCUUUAGGAGCUAGCCGUCUAA
rnacentral:rRNA from 1 species